rnacentral:misc_RNA from 1 species
GAUGAAGAACGCAGCGAAAUGCGAUAAGUAGUGUGAAUUGCAGCAUUCAGUGAAUCAUCGAAUCUUUGAACGCACAUUGCGCCCCAUGGUAUUCCGUGGGGCAUGCCUGUUCGAGCGUCAUUUACCCCCUCAAGCUCCGCUUGGUGUUGGGCGUCUGUCCCGCUUCGCGCGCGGACUCGCCCCAAAGGUAUUGGCAGCGGUCGUGCCAGCUUCUCGCGCAGCACAUUGCGCUUCUCGAGGCACCGGUGGGCCCGCGUCCAUCAAGCUCACCCCCCCAGUUUGACCUCGGAUCAGGUAGGGAUACCCGCUGAACUUAAGCAUAUCAAUAAGCGGAGGA